AGAGAAAGAAACAGCAACCACUGCAUGUGUGGCAGGAUGGUGUUGGAGGAAGCUACUCGCAUCAACUGAAGACGGAGAUAUGGCGGACAGUGACGCUACCCAACCAGACUGACAAAUAAAUUUAGCAAGACUGAAA